AAUGGGCGAAAGCCUGACGCAGCGACGCCGCGUGAGUGAUGAAGGCCUUCGGGUUGUAAAGCUCUGUGGAGGGAGACGAAUAAGGGUUGGCUAAUAUCCAGCUCGAUGACGGUAUCCCUUUAGCAAGCACCGGCUAACUCUGUGCCAGCAGCCGCGGUAAGACAGAGGGUGCAAACGUUGUUCGGAAUUACUGGGCGUAAAGCGCGUGUAGGCUGCUCGGAAAGUCGGAUGUGAAAGCCCUGGGCUCAACCUAGGAAGUGCAUUCGAAACUUCCGAGCUGGAGUACUGGAGAGGAAGGCGGAAUUCUCGGUGUAGAGGUGAAAUUCGUAGAUAUCGAGAGGAACACCGGUGGCGAAGGCGGCCUUCUGGACAGUGACUGACGCUGAGACGCGAAAGCGUGGGGAGCAAA
rnacentral:rRNA from 1 species